GAGGAAUUAGUUAAAUUAUAACACUGCCUUGUCAAGACAAAAUUACAAGUUAAACCCCUGUACUCCUCUA
rnacentral:tRNA from 1 species